GUCUAUGGCCAUACUACCCCGAAUGCACCCGCUCUUGUCUGAUCUCGGAAGCUAAGCAGGGUUGGGCCUGGUUAGCCCUUGGAUGGGAGAAUAUUGACA
ensembl:rRNA 5S_rRNA 5S ribosomal RNA